AAUUGUUGAAGCUUUUCUUAAGCCAUUGCCAAUUAGGCCAUCAAAAAAUAUUGCAACAAAUUCAAAACCAGUUGCUACUAAGUUUGUAGUGAAAGCUUCUUCACUUAAGGAAAAAGUAGUGACAGGGUUGACUGCAGGUGUACUUACAGCAUCAAUGGUUGUACCUGAUGUAGCACAAGCUGCUGAUGGUGUUUCACCUUCACUUAAGAAUUUCUUGCUUAGCAUUGUGGCAGGUGGGGCUGUGCUUACUGCAAUUAUUGGUGCUAUUAUUGGUGUUUCCAACUUUGAUCCUGUUAAGAGGAGUUAAUGUUGGUUAAAUUUGUGUUUUCUUGAUUGUAUCUAUAUGAUGUUUACUUAAUUCCAGAAUGAUUUGUGUAUGUUUACAUGACAACUAAUUCCAUAGUUCUUUUUCCGGCUUAUUUAUCUGACCGCAUUAGGCUCACUAAAGGGUGGCGCUCCCUAUCAAGAAAUUUUCUUAUUGAACGUAAAACCUAUAGUUAAGGGUUGGUGGAUCC
rnacentral:lncRNA from 1 species